rnacentral:lncRNA from 1 species
CCAACUCUUCUAGCUAUGCUCUCUCAACCUCUAGCCAACGAAUUUGCCUUUCCCAUAAGCUCCUAAUCAAAGCCCAGCCACCACAAACAACAAAUCAGAAGCAUCAAAGGAUCAAAAUCAAGAAAUCAAAGCUAGAAAAGGUAAAAACCCUAAAUUCUAAAAAUCCUUCGAUUCGAUGUUAAUUGGUGCAAUUGAUUGUUUAAAGUUGUGUAAUAGGGAGUCUAUUAAUGUUCUGGGUUGUUAAAUUCAGGACCCAUAACCUCAAAGUGCACGAAUUUGAAGAUUUAAACAAGUUGGAAAAACCGAAUUCUGUUAUUUUUCACCAAAUGUCAGAGGCUAUAACUCUUUGGUCGAUCACGAGUUUUGUUGUUUAAAAGUUUUUAUAGGUAGCCUAAUAUGUGGUCUUUAAUCUCCAAAAGGAAUCAAGUUCAUAUAUAUUGUAAAUCGGGAUUUAUAAGCGGUCAAAGUGGGUUGACCGGCAUUAACCGGCUGUUUUUCAAACCCAGAAAAUAUUCUAAGUGUCCAGAAUUUUUUUUUUUGGCAAAUGUCAGGCCUUAUAUAUCGGUCAUCUUUAAUGUUUUUUGUGUUUUAAAGGUUGAUAUGUGUAGCUUGUUAUGUGUUAUUUAACCUCUAAAAAGAUACAGGUCCAUAUAUAUAUUAUGGAUUAAGACUUAUUUAAGGUCAAAGUAGGUUGACCGGCAUUGACCAGAAAAUUCUGGGCAGCCCAGAAUUUUCUAAGUGUUAAUUUUUCUGACAAGGUUUGACCAUACUUUAGAUGCUUGAUUUCUUGUUGUUAUGAUGAUGUUAAGUGUUAGAGUUGUAGUCCUACAUGUUGUCUACACACUGGAAUUGAUAGAUCACAUAAACGUUACACGAUCAUCAAGUUAUAGAGGUCCAAAGUAGGCACCUCGAACUGUUCUUCGUGAAGAACAGCUUUGGUAGCUACUUUGAUGGCUGAUUUAUCCCAGAUCUGAUGUUUGUUUAGAGGUUAUGAUUGUUGGAUCUUGUAGUCUUGUAUUUCCUCUACAAGACCCAAUUUAUAGAUUGUCCAAAUUCGUUAAGAUGAGAGAGUUAUUCACGGUCAAAGUAGGCCACUCGGUUCUGCCUUAUGAAGAUCUGGGUAGGCUCAAGAACACCUAUAGCGACACUUCUGUCACUAUAGGGGCCUUUAGCGACAGUUUUAAUUAUUUUAAUUUCUGAUUUUCCGAAAAAUGAUUUAAAAAUUAGAAAAAUUAGAUUUUAAUUAUUAAAAAUACCAAAUAAAUUAUGAAAAAUUAUUUUAAAGUCUGAAAAAUAGUUUUUAAUUAUUUUGAGUAUAUUUCAUAAAUAUUUAAUAUUUUUGGAAUAUAAAAGGUAUUUAUUUAUUUAAUUAUAAUAUUAAAUAAAUUAUUUAAAAAUAGUUUUAAUUCAUGAAAAAUCAUGAAAAAUUAUAUUAUGGUAUAAGAAAAUAUUUUAAGUUAUUUCCCAUGACUUUUAAUAUUUUGUGAUGAAUUUCAUUAAUUAAUUAUAUAUUAAUGAUAUUAAAGUUAUUUAAUGAUUAUAUUAAAUAAUUUAGUUUAAAAAUGAUUUUAAUAUUAUAAAAAUCAUUUUAAAUGAAAUUAAGGUAUUUAAAAAUAUUUUAAGUUAUAAAAUAUAACUUUUAAUAUUUAAAGGAUAAUUUCAUUAAUAAUUUAAUAUUAAUGAUAUUAAGAUAAUAUUAAUGAUAUUUAGUUUAUUUAAUAAUUAUUAUUAAAUAAAUAGUUUAAAAAUGGUUUUAUUUAUUUAAAAAUCAUUUAAAGAGGAUAUUAAGGAUUUAAAAAUAUUUUAAGUUAUAAUUAAUGACUUUUAAUAUUUGGAUGAAUAGUACAUUAAUAUUUAUAUAUUAAUGGUGAUUAUUUAAAAAUGAUUUUAAUUGUUUUAAAAAUCAUUUAAGGGUAAUAUAAAUGUUUUAAAAAUAGUUUGAGUUAUUAUAAAUAACUUUUAUAUUUUGGCAAUGGUUUCAUUAAUAGUUUAAUAUAAAUUAAUUAUUAAUGAUAAUGGAAUUGUUUAAUGUUUAAAUCAUUUAAUUAUGAUUCCGAUGUUUGAAAGUUAUAGCCGGCCAAACUAGCUGACUUGAGAACCGAUUAUGAAGUUAUGAAGUUUUGAGGAACACCUAUAGUAACAGUUAUAUCACUAUAGGCCCGGUAGUGACAGAUUUGAAUUAUUUUAAAUUUUUCAAUUUCUGGAAAAUUCGAAAAUGAUUAAAAAUAAAAUGUUUGAUAUUUACAGAUGUUGAGGUAUAGGAUAAGAGUCUUAGACUCAGUAUUUACCCGAUAAAGCUGUCGGUACGCCGACAAAUGUCAGACCCUAUAAUAGAAAGAAAAGACUUCUGUAAGAGCAUGGAUGAGAUAUUUGAAAAAUGUAUAAAAAUAUUUCAAGUAUAGAAUAUGAACUAAAAGUAUGAUCACUGCGAUUAUGUGAUGACGUGAUUAGACUAUGUGCUGACUGUAAUAGACAGUACUAUGUGUUAUGAUAUAUUGUUCUAAUCGAACGAAUGAUCUGAUUAUUGAUAGGUUGUGAUAAAGAGAUAAAACCUAAGUUGAGAUUUGUAAUCAGCAAAUCAGGCAAGUAUCUUACCUUUGCAUUUCCUUUAUGCAAUGGACAUGAGUAAGAAGUUUCAGAAUUAUUCUAUUCCUGUACAGAUUAUGUACGCUUUGAUUAUCAACAUGUUAGCUCAGAUAUAUAUUCUGUUAAGUUGAUUUCUAAAUGGUUAUACAAGUGUCCCCACUUGGAUAAUCAUGGCAUUUAUUCACAUGUUGAUAUACCUUUGUCAAUUACCCGUAUACAUAUAUGUUGAAUUACAUAUUAUUGUUGAGCAAGAUUAAAAACCUUCGGGUUUGGAACCAGGCAUGUAUGAACAUCCCGAUAAUGGGAAAAUUUUUAUGCGCUUCGGCGGACAAAGGGUGAGCGAUGAAUUUCGUUCAAGUUAUGUAGUAUUGAUCAAUACAGGGUACAACGGGGCUGAUCACCCUCCGUGCCCGUAAGUUAUGACGGUUUGCGGAUGAAUUUCUGCUAAACCUUUUCGAAAAUGAAAAACAAUGUUCAUAGUAUGUUUCUUAAACCCUAUUCAUGGGUGGAGCCUAAUUUCAAGAAAUUGAAAGAGAGUUGUUAUGUGAAUCUUUUAUCAGUACAGAUUACUUCACAACUUUUGAUUCGUUGUAGAAGUGUUAUGUAAAGAGAAUACUUAUAUUCUUUCAGCUUAUAUAUAUAAUUGCUAUUACUUGCUGGGCACUCAAAUGCUCAUCCUUGCUUAAAUUAAAUGUUUUCAGUUAUGUAUGAGCAACCUGAAGGCUCAGGCACGAACAA